CUUUACAAGCGCUCUUCAGUGAUGAUGCAACGCACGGGCCUAAAGAUAGCCAUCCUGGUGUUCAUUUUUCUCUCUCUUGCCUCCAAGUCAAGGAGCACUUUUCGGCCAUCAGAAGUUACAAGGCAGCUCAUAGCCACACUGGAAAAUGAAGAAAGGGCUGACGACAGUCCUCCUUUGUCCUACAGAAGAAUACAUCGAGCUAACAAGUUGUACAAACUGCGAAUUUUAGAGCAAAGCCAAAACCAAACUGAACAGAGAAUACAGCAGGUUAAAGAAUUAUUCCAACAGUUAUUUAAAAAGCGCCCUCAAAAUCAAUAGAAUUAGUUUCUUGUGGAGAGCAGAAUAGUUCAAUGUCUGCCUCUGUGGCAAUUAAGGAAAAUGAGAGAAGACCUGGCCGCUGCAAAACUGAAACUGCUUUUCAAAAAGCACCGGCACAAACAAAAAAAGAGACUCAAGGGUGGUGCAGCUGCUGGUCGUAAUGGCACCCAAAGUGCAGACAACAGCAGCGAGGACAGUGACGAACUUGAAGAGGACGACAACCAGACUGAGGAGGACGACAGCGAAUCUCCGACGGACGAUAGCAAUCAAAGUAGUGAUGAUGACAGCGAAGGAGAUCCUGACGAUUCUUGACCUUUUAAUAAGACAAAUUGAUGUUUUAUUUAAACAAGUGUUCACUUGGCAUUUAUAUUUAUUAAUAAAAAUAUAAGUUUGACACUAAUGAUCGUGGAAAUCACAAGAGUGGGGAAAUAAUAAUUAGCCCGUUGUUGGCACAAACGAUUUUGUAUCAUUUCAUUUCAAAAAGUGGUUUUUAUUUCAAGAAAUGAACGGAAUGUUGUACAUCAUAUCAAUAUAAGGCACUUUGUUUAUUUUUUAACACCGAAUAUUCAAUAAUUUUCUCAAUUAAUGCCAUUUACAGAGAUUUUUAAGUGGCAGUGAAUAGAAUGACUAUUACUCAUAAAUGGCUAAAAUCUCACAACGCUUAAGACAAAUUUACUCUUUAACACGUUCCUUAUAGUAAGUUAGACCAACCCCUUUAGAGAAAUAAGCCUGCAUUUAAAAGAAAAGCUAAAUUAU